GAGCGUCACGACGUGCUGGGGUGUCGC
rnacentral:sRNA from 1 species